AAUGGCUCAGACAUACCCAGGAAACAGCAGAGUGAGAUGUGCAGAGAACAGCAUCUGAGAUUGUAAAGGGCAGCCUGCUUCUGGGAGGAAAUAGAGGCAAGGUCAGAGAGCUGAUGCUGAGGAUGACAGGCUCCAGGGUGUUUCAAAGUGAGAACCUCAAUUGCUGCUGCUGGGCUCAAUGGGAGAGAAGCCUCGUGUGAGUGAAGGAUUAGCGAAUCCAGGUGGCUUCCCUUGUGUGGUGAAGACGAACAACUACUGAUGAAGGACACUGCAUCAAAAGUGACAGGGGGAUUAAGUUGAAUUUUAGCAGAGGUACAGUCUGAAAACUGAAGGAAGAAACUAUUUGUAGAAGAAAGCAGCAUGUGUAACAGGAGAAGAGUAAGAAUCUGUCUUACCCUUCUCACUCCUCCAACUCCAUCUGCUGAUCAUUCAUAUGAGAGCUGUAACAUCAGAGCUGCUUCUGAGCAUUAUUGAAGAUGUGGAACAGUGAAAUCUUUUUUGUCAAGCCUCCAAGAGCAAAUAGCAGCAGAGAUGAGAUUUUGAAUAUGCUGUGUGUAGCAGCAGCAUGCACCAAUUUAGGACAGAAGGAGAAGCACAGUUGCUUCUGGAUUUGAGCCACCUGACUUCAAGCAUAAAACUGUGGCACCUAAUUAGUCAAGCAAGAACGUGCAUGAGCAGGUCAUGUCUGCUGCUCUGAUGGUAGCUGAGAUGCUUCACCAUGGUGAUAUGCAGCUGCACAGAACAGGACUACCUUGCAAAAUAAACCUGGAUCACUUGUAUUUGAAUUAAAGGGUAAAGUCCAGUAAUCUUAGAAUCAUAGAAUCAUGCAAGUUGGAGAAUUUAAGAUCAUUGAGUCCUCCACUGAUACUUUUCUGACUCAUCAAGAAACCUGCACAACUUUUGGAUAAAGCUUGGCUCACCAGUUCUGGUACGUUGAUAGCAAAUACUCCAUUUGCUUUGGCUGAUGAAACUUGUAUUCAUCUAGCACAUCUAAUUAACC